CCUACGGGAGGCAGCAGUGGGGAAUCUUCCGCAAUGGGCGAAAGCCUGACGGAGCAACGCCGCGUGAGUGAUGACGGCCUUCGGGUUGUAAAGCUCUGUGAUCGGGGACGAACGGUCCGUAAGCCAAUAACUUAUGGAAGUGACGGUACCCGAAUAGCAAGCCACGGCUAACUACGUGCCAGCAGCCGCGGUAAUACGUAGGUGGCAAGCGUUGUCCGGAAUUAUUGGGCGUAAAGCGCGCGCAGGCGGUUUUCUAAGUCCAGCGUAAAAGUGCGGGGCUUAACCCCGGUAGGGGUUGGAAACUGGGAAGCUGGAGUAUCGGAGAGGAAAGUGGAAUUCCUAGUGUAGCGGUGAAAUGCGUAGAGAUUAGGAGGAACACCGGUGGCGAAGGCGGCUUUCUGGACGACAACUGACGCUGAGGCGCGAAAGCGUGGGGAGCAAACAGGAUUAGAUACCCCAGUAGUC
rnacentral:rRNA from 1 species